ACGUUGAAUUUGACGGUCGGCAAUUUUUUUAAUUUCGAUGCUACGAUUUCAUGCAAGCUGUGCUUUUUUUGUGUGUUUGUGUAGUGAAAGUGUUGUCGUUGCAUGAAACGCGCUGUGCGCUUGCAGAAAACUCAACGAAAUGAAUGACAAGUAUUCAAUGGUAUUUCGAAAUAAAAAUGAAAUUAGUUUCGGUUAAUGUAUAGUUCAAUCAAAAUUGUUGUUGGUGUUUUAUAUUUUCAUGACAAGAAAAUUGCAAUUUUUUUUGAAGCGAAAAGUGAGUGUUGCGUAAAACAUGAAAAUGCUUUGAAAGUCACGUUAUACUCUGGCAUAAGUGUUUACAGUUAAACCAAAGCAUUUGCCGUGCGAAGUUAUCAAGUGAAAGUACAAAGCGGAGCAGUGAAUUUAGUGCCCACCGGGAGUUGGGAGUUGCUGUGAGGCCAGGAAUACAAAGCAGCUGCUUUGAAGAAAACUUUCUGAAUUUUUGUUUGUCACACAUCAUGAAAUUGACGAAUAAAUGAACCAUUGAACCGGCAAAUAAGGACCGAAGGGAAUACUUUGUUGAAAUUUGAGUAGACAAUUACUUGUGAUGAGAAAAUAAAACACCAACAACAAAAACAAAAACGAGCGAAAUAAACCAAACAAAAAUCACUGCGCUGAGAAAGCAAACGAAUUGGCAACAAGACAAACAAAACGCCAAAAAGCAACGAAAUAAUCAUAGUUUGUUUGAAAGCAAAUACAGAGAGCAGUAAAGCAAAAAAAAAAAAAA
rnacentral:lncRNA from 1 species